AGAAACAAGAGAAAAAAUCAGAAAUUUUCUGAAAGAGGUCAGAUGGAUAUUUCAUUAGCUUUCAUCCAUUGAAAUUCUGUUAUUUGCAUAAAUUGGUCCUCGCAAUCUGGUUGAUUUUUCCAAAACAUUAGCUACUUCCUUACAAGACAUAUUUACGUGACGAAAUAUACAAAACAAAUUUCACGGUUAUACAUAUGAUAUCAUCAAUUAUGAUGCUAACUACUCUGGGAGUUGUCUUGCUCUGCGCCCUUCAUCUUGUUGAUCAAUGUCAAGCAAUCUGAUGCAAUUUCCAUUUUCUGAAAACAUGCUUCUGCUGCAAAGUUGAGAGCAUGUCUUAUAGCUAAAGCUUCAGCUUGUUCUAGAUGUUAACACUUGAUCAACAAAGCCCCUUCUGGCUGCUUGUACAGAUCCCAAGUUAUCUUACAUUAUCAAACCAUAGCUCACGCGCGCCGUGAAUUAGAGAAAAUCACAACAUCAACAUUCAUUAGCGUGAAAUCAAUUGACAGAAAGAGACCAUUUUUGAAUUAUUCCCUGCUUCUCGUGCCUUGUGGAUGUAGUCGAACAAGAAGCAAUCAGGAAACAUUCCAUCAUCUCCAAUGGUUUCCUGUCAGUCUCGUUUUUUCCUAUGCCGAAGUGGUUCCUACUUCCUUCUGCAAAGAAUGAAUUAGCAAGUUUGUUGAGUUUAGACAGUGAAGUAUAUGUAUGUAUUAUCCAUGCCAUCGCAGCUUGACCGGGAUAAACAUGGAGGAGACAUUGUACACGGUGAGACCAACGAUUGUUCUGCUGACAUCAACGGUUCCUGGCAGCUAAGAUAUUGAACAGUGAUUAAUUAACUGUUAAUGCUGACCACUUCCACUAGAACAAAAUAGAUUGACACGAGAAACAAAAAGAAAUCAACAUGAGAGAAUAUGAGCAGCGGCGAGCAGAAGAAAAGGGGGAUUGGAGACGUACCUGCGUCGUUUGGCUGCCGGCCGCACUCCCUCAAUCCCGUGUCAGAAACUCAGAAUAGGGGCAGGCGGCGGACGAAGGAGAUGACAGCGGAAGCGGACGAUCAGCCGGUGAAGAACGACGGAGAAGACUGCAGCGGCGGCGGCGGCGACUGCGGCAAAGGAUGCGACGGCGACUCUGGUCUAGAUGGAUUAGGGAUCAUGCGGAGAGGAGAGACCCCACAGUGGUUCCUGUUGAGUAUAUAAACAAGAAUAUGGUUUUUACCCUCAAAAAAAAAGAGAGUAUAUAAACAAGAACCCGGACAGGAGCUCAC
rnacentral:lncRNA from 1 species